AGUGAACGCUGGCGGUAGGCCUAACACAUGCAAGUCGAACGGCAGCACAGUAAGAGCUUGCUCUUACGGGUGGCGAGUGGCGGACGGGUGAGGAAUACAUCGGAAUCUACUUUUUCGUGGGGGAUAACGUAGGGAAACUUACGCUAAUACCGCAUACGGCCUACGGGUGAAAGCAGGGGAUCUUCGGACCUUGCGCGAUUGAAUGAGCCGAUGUCGGAUUAGCUAGUUGGCGGGGUAAAGGCCCACCAAGGCGACGAUCCGUAGCUGGUCUGAGAGGAUGAUCAGCCACACUGGAACUGAGACACGGUCCAGACUCCUACGGGAGGCAGCAGUGGGGAAUAUUGGACAAAGGGCGCAAGCCUGAUCCAGCCAUACCGCGUGGGUGAAGAAGGCCUUCGGGUUGUAAAGCCCUUUUGUUGGGAAAGAAGAGCAGCAGGUUAAUACCCCGCUGUUCUGACGGUACCCAAAGAAUAAGCACCGGCUAACUUCGUG
rnacentral:rRNA from 1 species